UAGGGAAUCUUCCGCAAUGGGCGAAAGCCUGACGGAGCAACGCCGCGUGAGUGAUGAAGGUCUUCGGAUCGUAAAACUCUGUUAUCAGGGAAGAACAAAUGUGUAAGUAACUGUGCACAUCUUGACGGUACCUGAUCAGAAAGCCACGGCUAACUACGUGCCAGCAGCCGCGGUAAUACGUAGGUGGCAAGCGUUAUCCGGAAUUAUUGGGCGUAAAGCGCGCGUAGGCGGUUUUUUAAGUCUGAUGUGAAAGCCCACGGCUCAACCGUGGAGGGUCAUUGGAAACUGGAAAACUUGAGUGCAGAAGAGGAAAGUGGAAUUCCAUGUGUAGCGGUGAAAUGCGCAGAGAUAUGGAGGAACACCAGUGGCGAAGGCGACUUUCUGGUCUGUAACUGACGCUGAUGUGCGAAAGCGUGGGGAUCAAACAGGAUUAGAUACCCCUGGUAGUCCACGCCGUAAACGAUGAGUGCUAAGUGUUAGGGGGUUUCCGCCCCUUAGUGCUGCAGCUAACGCAUUAAGCACUCCGCCUGGGGAGUACGACCGCAAGGUUGAAACUCAAAGGAAUUGACGGGGACCCGCACAAGCGGUGGAGCAUGUGGUUUAAUUCGAAGC
rnacentral:rRNA from 1 species